rnacentral:rRNA from 1 species
UACGAAGGGGGCUAGCGUUGUUCGGAAUUACUGGGCGUAAAGGGCGCGUAGGCGGUGUGUCAAGUCAGGCGUGAAAGCCCCGGGCUCAACCUGGGAACAGCGCUUGAGACUGGCACGCUCGAGUUCGGGAGAGGAUGGUGGAAUUCCCAGUGUAGAGGUGAAAUUCGUAGAUAUUGGGAAGAACACCGGUGGCGAAGGCGGCUCACUGGCUCGUAACUGACGCUCAUGCACGACAGCGUGGGGAUCAAACAGG